rnacentral:rRNA from 1 species
GACGAACCGUGCGAACGUUGUUCGGAAUCACUGGGCUUAAAGGGCGCGUAGGCGGCUUGCCAAGUCAGUGGUGAAAUCCCGCAGCUUAACUGCGGAAGUGCCUUUGGUACUGAAGAUCUUGAGUUCGGGAGAGGUGAGUGGAACUGCGAGUGUAGAGGUGAAAUUCGUAGAUAUUCGCAAGAACACCAGUGGCGAAGGCGGCUCACUGGCCCGAUACUGACGCUGAGGCACGAAAGCGUGGGGAGCAAACAGG